GCCACUCAGUUCACAUUGAGGACUGGUCAAACAGCAUUUCUGAUCCCGUUUCUGACCUGAAAUUAGCUGAAAUGUACCUGAAAUUACCUGAAAUUAGAGUGUGCCCGCCCGAGCGAGUGAUGCCUAAAACAUGCAAACAAAACUGAAGACCAGGAACUGGAACCUGGGAACCUGAAAGAUGAUGUUGUCCUGAAAGACACAAUUCAGGCAGCAGCAUGGUGCCAGUUACAGUCCUUCAAGGACAGCGUUUCUCUCCCAGAGGUCAUUGGGAUGGAAGGUUGGGAGCAGAUGGCAGCAUCAACACAGCGCAAAUCCCAUGACGGCG